GAGACUUGUAGUAGUAUGGAGGUGGAGGUGAGGGAGAUGGUGGUGGUGGAGAUUUGUAAUAGUAAGGUGGUGGAGGGGAAUGUGAGGGGGGUGGGGGGGAUUUGUAAUAAUAAGGAGGUGGAGGUGAUGGGGAUGGAGGAGGUGGUGACUUGUACACAUAUGUUGGAGCCUUGUGCUCAUAAGAUGGUGGUGGAGGUGAUUUAUACUCAUAGGGUGGUGGGGGUGAUGGUGAAGGAGGUGGGGGAGACUUAUAUUCAUAAGAUGGAGACUUGUGCUCAUAGGGUGGAGGUGGUGGAGAUUUGUAAAUGUAAGAUGGUGGAGGUGACGGUGAGGGAGGCGGUGGUGACUUGUAAAUGUAAGGUGGUGGUGGUGAUGGUGAUGGUGGUGGGGGUGACUUGUACUGGUAAGAUGGAGCCUUGUGCUCAUAUGGUGGUGGAGGUGACGGUGAUGGAGGUGGUGGUGACUUGUAAAUGUAAGGUGGUGGAGGUGAUGGUGAUGGAGGUGGGGGUGACUUGUACUGGUAAGAUGGUGCCUUGUGCUCAUAUGGAGGCGGUGGUGACGGUGAUGGAGGCGGUGGUGACUUGUACACAUAAGGUGGUGGAGGAGAAGAGUAAAUAUAACUAUCUGCAGCAGCAGAAACCACAGAAGUCGAAAUCAAAACAAUGACGAAUGCCAUUGCCAUUGGUGGCCAGUUAUGACCCCUUUUGGGGCUACUGGCCUUAGCAGUCAUGGGUAGAAUGAAAA
rnacentral:lncRNA from 1 species